rnacentral:rRNA from 1 species
AACCGUAUAGGGGAGCCGAAGGGAAACCGAGUCUUAACCGGGCGUUAAGUUGCAGGGUAUAGACCCGAAACCCGGUGAUCUAGCCAUGGGCAGGUUGAAGGUUGGGUAACACUAACUGGAGGACCGAACCGACUAAUGUUGAAAAAUUAGCGGAUGACCUGUGGCUGGGGGUGAAAGGCCAAUCAAACCGGGAGAUAGCUGGUUCUCCCCGAAAGCUAUUUAGGUAGCGCCUCGUGAAUUCAUCUCCGGGGGUAGAGCACUGUUUCGGCUAGGGGGCCAUCCCGGCUUACCAACCCGAUGCAAACUGCGAAUACCGGAGAAUGUUAUCACGGGAGACACACGGCGGGUGCUAACGUCCGUCGUGAAGAGGGAAACAACCCAGACCGCCAGCUAAGGUCCCAAAGUCAUGGUUAAGUGGGAAACGAUGUGGGAAGGCCCAGACAGCCAGGAUGUUGGCUUAGAAGCAGCCAUCAUUUAAAGAAAGCGUAAUAGCUCACUGGUCGAGUCGGCCUGCGCGGAAGAUGUAACGGGGCUAAACCAUGCACCGAAGCUGCGGCAGCGACGCUGAUGCGUUGUUGGGUAGGGGAGCGUUCUGUAAGCCUGCGAAGGUGGCCUGUGAGGGUUGCUGGAGGUAUCAGAAGUGCGAAUGCUGACAUAAGUAACGAUAAAGCGGGUGAAAAGCCCGCUCGCCGGAAGACCAAGGGUUCCUGUCCAACGUUAAUCGGGGCAGGGUGAGUCGACCCCUAAGGCGAGGCCGAAAGGCGUAGUCGAUGGGAAACGGGUUAAUAUUCCCGUACUUGGUGUUACUGCGAAGGGGGGACGGAGAAGGCUAUGUUGGCCGGGCGACGGUUGUCCCGGUUUAAGCGUGUAGGUGUGUGUUCCAGGUAAAUCCGGUUCACUUUAACACUGAGGCGUGACGACGAGGCACUACGGUGCUGAAGCAACAAAUGCCCUGCUUCCAGGAAAAGCCUCUAAGCAUCAGGUAACAUCAAAUCGUACCCCAAACCGACACAGGUGGUCAGGUAGAGAAUACCAAGGCGCUUGAGAGAACUCGGGUGAAGGAACUAGGCAAAAUGGUGCCGUAACUUCGGGAGAAGGCACGCUGACACGUAGGUGAAGUGAUUUACUCAUGGAGCUGAAGUCAGUCGAAGAUACCAGCUGGCUGCAACUGUUUAUUAAAAACACAGCACUGUGCAAACACGAAAGUGGACGUAUACGGUGUGACGCCUGCCCGGUGCCGGAAGGUUAAUUGAUGGGGUCAGCGCAAGCGAAGCUCCUGAUCGAAGCCCCGGUAAACGGCGGCCGUAACUAUAACGGUCCUAAGGUAGCGAAAUUCCUUGUCGGGUAAGUUCCGACCUGCACGAAUGGCGUAAUGAUGGCCAGGCUGUCUCCACCCGAGACUCAGUGAAAUUGAACUCGCUGUGAAGAUGCAGUGUACCCGCGGCAAGACGGAAAGACCCCGUGAACCUUUACUAUAGCUUGACACUGAACAUUGAGCCUUGAUGUGUAG